rnacentral:tRNA from 1 species
CGGGGUGUAGUUCAGUUGGCUAGAACGCUACAUUCGGGAUGUAGAGGUCGUCCGUUCAAGUCGGAUCACCCCGA